GAAGGGGGGCUAGCGUUGCUCGGGAAUCACUGGGCGUAAAGGGUGCGUAGGCGGGUCUUUAAGUCAGGGGGUGAAAUCCUGGGAGCUCAACUCCAGAACUGCCUUUGAUACUGAAGAUCUUGAGUUCGGGAGAGGUGAGUGGAACUGCGAGUGUAGAGGUGAAAUUCGUAGAUAUUCGCAAGAACACCAGUGGCGAAGGCGGCUCACUGGCCCGAUACUGACGCUGAGGCACGAAAGCGUGGGGAGCAAACAGGACUAGAUACCCUGGUAGUCCACGCCGUAAACGAUGAAUGCCAGCCGUUAGUGGGUUUACUCACUAGUGGCGCAGCUAACGCUUUAAGCAUUCCGCCUGGGGAGUACGGUCGCAAGAUUA
rnacentral:rRNA from 1 species